rnacentral:rRNA from 1 species
UACGUAGGGGGCAAGCGUUGUCCGGAUUUACUGGGCGUAAAGAGCGUGUAGGCGGCCAUACAGGUCCGUUGUGAAAACUCGAGGCUCAACCUCGAGACGCCGGUGGAAACCGUAAAGCUAGAGUCCGGAAGAGGAGAGUGGAAUUCCUGGUGUAGCGGUGAAAUGCGCAGAUAUCAGGAGGAACACCCGUGGCGAAAGCGGCUCUCUGGGACGGUACUGACGCUGAGACGCGAAAGCGUGGGGAGCAAACAGG